GAUGAACGCUGGCGGUAUGCCUAACACAUGCAAGUCGUACGAGAGUUUUUAACUCUAGUGGCGGACGGUGAGUAACACGUGAGAAUUUGCCUUUAGGAGGGGGACAACAAUUGGAAACGAAUGCUAAUACCCCAUAUGCUUUCGAGUGAAAUGGAUUUUAUCCGCCUAGAGAGAAGCUCGCGGCUGAUUAGCUUGUUGGUAAGGUAAGAGCUUACCAAGGCGACGAUCAGUAUCUGGUUUGAGAGGACGAUCAGACACACUGGAACUGAGACACGGUCCAGACUCCUACGGGAGGCAGCAGUGGGGAAUUUUCCGCAAUGGGCGAAAGCCUGACGGAGCAAUACCGCGUGAGGGAAGAAUGCCUAUGGGUUGUAAACCUCUUUUUCAGGGAGGAAUAAAAUGACGUGUACCUGAAGAAUAAGCAUCGGCUAACUCCGUG
rnacentral:rRNA from 1 species